rnacentral:rRNA from 1 species
UACGUAGGGUGCAAGCGUUGUCCGGAAUUACUGGGCGUAAAGCGCGCGUAGGUGGUUCGUUAAGUUGGAUGUGAAAUCCCCGGGCUCAACCUGGGAACUGCAUUCAAAACUGUCGAGCUAGAGUAUGGUAGAGGGUGGUGGAAUUUCCUGUGUAGCGGUGAAAUGCGUAGAUAUAGGAAGGAACACCAGUGGCGAAGGCGACCACCUGGACUGAUACUGACACUGAGGUGCGAAAGCGUGGGGAGCAAACAGG